rnacentral:rRNA from 1 species
UACAGAGGUCUCAAGCGUUGUUCGGAUUCAUUGGGCGUAAAGGGUGCGUAGGCGGCGCGGUAAGUCGGGUGUGAAAUCUCGGGGCUUAACUCCGAAACUGCAUUCGAUACUGCCGUGCUUGAGGACUGGAGAGGAGACUGGAAUUUACGGUGUAGCGGUGAAAUGCGUAGAUAUCAAGGAGGAACACCGGUGGCGAAGGCGGGUCUCUGGGCCGAUGACUGACGCUGGAGGAGCGAAAGCGUGGGGGAGCGAAACAGGGA